GCCUACUCAAUGUGAAGAUGAGGAUGAAGAUUUUGUGAUGACCCACCUUUUUUAAAUAAAUGUUACCUUGAACAGAAAACAGGAAUAGGACAAAUGAAAAUGAAGACUGUUUGACUCCUCUUGCUUAAAGCCUGGACUAGACCUAUUCAACGGAACUUUUGUGCAUGAAACUCAAAGCUGUUGCCAAAACAUAUAUGGGUAAAAAGGGAAAUCAGUGGGGACAGUCAAGUUUUGGCACUGGAGUACUGACUUUGUAUUGUAUGGACUAGUGGAAUCUCAGUUCUUCCUCCUCCUCCGCGUGGCUGACUUUCAGCUACAGAUUCUUGCAAUUUCUGCAAAGUUUAUUCUUUCUCCUUGGAGGAUUUGGGAGGGGGAAGGAGAAACAUUUCCUGGGACUAUCAUGGCCGAAUCCAUCCUUCUUUUAGGGCUU
rnacentral:lncRNA from 1 species